rnacentral:rRNA from 1 species
UACGUAGGGUGCGAGCGUUAAUCGGAAUUACUGGGCGUAAAGCGUGCGCAGGCUGUUUGUAAGUCAGAUGUGAAAUCCCCGAGCUCAACUUGGGACUGCGUUGAAACUACAAGACUAGAAUAUGUCAGAGGGGGUAGAAGUUCACGUGUAGCAGUGAAAUGCGUAGAGAUAUGGAGGAAUAUCAAUGGCGAAGGCAGCCC